rnacentral:tRNA from 1 species
GUCUUCGUGGUGUAUUGGUCAGCACGCUGGGCGCGUAUUCCAGAGGUCCGUGGUUCGAGUCCCGGCGAAGGUG